GAUGAACGCUGGCGGCGUGCCUAAUACAUGCAAGUCGAGCGAACAGACGAGGAGCUUGCUCCUCUGACGUUAGCGGCGGACGGGUGAGUAACACGUGGAUAACCUACCUAUAAGACUGGGAUAACUUCGGGAAACCGGAGCUAAUACCGGAUAAUAUAUUGAACCGCAUGGUUCAAUAGUGAAAGACGGUUUUGCUGUCACUUAUAGAUGGAUCCGCGCCGCAUUAGCUAGUUGGUAAGGUAACGGCUUACCAAGGCUACGAGGCGUAGCCGACCUGAUAGGGAGAUACGCCACACUGGAACUGAGAAAGGGUCCAGACUCCUAGGGGAGGAAACAGUGGGGAAUCUUCCGGGAUGGGGGAGAGAGUGACGGGGCAACGCAGCGUAAGUGAUGAAGGUCUUCGGAUCUGAAAACUCUGUUAUUAGUAAAGAUCAAAUGUGUACGUAACUAGGCACGUCUUGACGGUACCUGGUCAGAAAGCCACGGCUAACUACGUG
rnacentral:rRNA from 1 species